rnacentral:rRNA from 1 species
AUGGAGCAAGCGGCCAGCAGCGCGAAGGAGGAUCUCAGCCUCGAGCUUACCCUGGCCUUUGCUAUGUGCGUGGCACCAGCCGCGCCCCGCUCGGGCUUCUUCUUGUGCGUUUACUGUGACCGCAAGUUCGGCAACGCGCAGGCGCUCGGUGGUCACCAGAACGCGCAUAAGCAAGAGCGCGCCGUCGCCAAGCUCCGCCGGGACGCGUGGAGGGCUGCUGCAAUUUCUCGGAUCUCCGGGGAGCCUGCAGUAGGCUCUGUGGCGUACAAGCGCGGCAGGACCUCAUCGGACCGCGACCACGAGCUGGACUUGUCUCUCCGGCUGUAA